UACGAAGGGGGCUAGCGUUGUUCGGAAUUACUGGGCGUAAAGCGCGCGCAAGCGGUUCGAUAAGUUGGGGGUGAAAUCCCCGGGCUCAACCCGGGAAUGGCCUUCAAGACUGUCGAGCUAGAGGACGAGAGAGGUGAGUGGAAUUCCCAGUGUAGAGGUGAAAUUCGUAGAUAUUGGGAAGAACACCGGUGGCGAAGGCGGCUCACUGGCUCGUUUCUGACGCUGAGGCGCGAAAGCGUGGGGAGCAAACAGG
rnacentral:rRNA from 1 species